AGAUUGAACGCUGGCGGCAUGCUUUACACAUGCAAGUCGAACGGUAACAGGCCGCAAGGUGCUGACGAGUGGCGAACGGGUGAGUAAUGCAUCGGAACGUGCCCAGUCGUGGGGGAUAACGCAGCGAAAGCUGUGCUAAUACCGCAUACGAUCUAUGGAUGAAAGCGGGGGACCGAAAGGCCUCGCGCGAUUGGAGCGGCCGAUGUCAGAUUAGCUAGUUGGUGGGGUAAAGCCCACCAAGGCGACGAUCUGUAGCUGGUCUGGAGAGGACGACCAGCCACACUGGAACUGAGACACGGUCCAGACCUCCGUACGGGAGCAGCGAGUAGGGGAAUUUUGGAACAAGUGGGGCACGAAGCCUGAUCCAGCAAUGCCGCGUGACGAAGGAAGAACGG
rnacentral:rRNA from 1 species